AGCUUUGAUCAGCCAUUCCUUCGUCCUCCUCUGCGCGUUCAUCUCUUCCCUUUUUUUUAGUUACUGUCGGCACUAAUGGGUGCUCGUUACCACCGUGCAACACCAGGUUCUCCGUCGUUCCUCACCUCUGUUGGUCCUCUGUCAUUUCUUUUUCUAUUUUCACUGUUUGUGUUCGUGUAGUGGGCGGCAUAAAAGUUGAAUCAUUGAUCUGAGAUGGAGGAUUUCGAUUAGAUCCACAUAAAGGUAGAUCACAAAAUGGAUACGUGUUUACUUGUGGGGUACAGCAAUAUCUUGGCAUUCAACAAAACAAACUUUAGCUGCUACCUCAUCAAAUCAUGCAUAAAUAAUUGCAAUUCAUGAAACAAGUAGAGAAUGUAUUUGGCUAAGAUCAGUAAUCCAUCAUAUCCAAAAGAUGUGUGGUUUAUUGUUGGAAAAAAAAGGAUUCCAACAAUAUUAUUUGAGGAUAACACAGCAUGCAUAGCUCAAUUGAAAGGAGGAUAUAUCAAAGGAGAUAGAACAAAACAUAUUUCUCCAAAAAAAAAAAUUCACUCAUGACCUUUUGAAAAGCGGUGAUAUAGAUGUUCAGCAAAUUCACUCAUAUGACAAUCUUGCAAAUUUGUUUACUAAGACACUACCAACUUUGACAUUAUAGAAGUUAGUGUAUGGAAUUGGAAUGCACAAACUCAGAGAUAUAAAGUGGUGAUGUCAUCAGGGGGAAUGAAGUGAUAUUUGUUACCAGGGGAGACUACGGGGAGUAAAUAUUAUGUUGUACUCUUUUUUCCUUUCUAAGGUUUUGUCCCACUGAGUUUUUCUAGAAAGGUUUUUAAUGAGGCAACAUUAGUGAAUGUUUAAAAAUAUUGUGUACUCUUUUUCCUUUAUUAUGUUUUUAUCCCAUUGGUUUUUUUCUAGUAAGGUUUUAAUGAAGCAUACUAUUUGUUAUGGACAUCCAAGGGGGAGUAUUAUAAAUAUUAUGUUAUGGAUGUCCAUAACUCAUAGCCUUUAGAAUUCCUUUAUCCUUAAUGUCCUCAUGAAUGGCAUGGAAGGAAAUUCUUAGUCUUAAUAACUUAUAACCUUCAAAGGUUACAUAAUGCACCAUUAUAUGCCUUAUUAUAUCUUUGUAACAUUAGAAUAGGACUUGAAUGGUUUAAGGCCUAUAAAUAGAGGUUGUGUCCAAAGUAUAUGUAUAUUAGUGAAUAAGAAUUCUCCUUCAUUGUUUUCCCUCCA